CCAAUAGCGUAUAUUAAAGUUGUUGCAGUUAAAAAGCUCGUAGUUGAAUUUCGGGAUCAAGUCGUCGGUCGUGCUCAGGUACGUACUGGCGUCAUUGAUUUCUCCCUUCUGACGAACCAUGAUGUCAUUAAUUUGGUGUUAUGGGAAAUCAGGACUGUUACUUUGAAAAAAUUAGAGUGUUUAAAGCAGGCUCACGCUUGAAUACAUUAGCAUGGAAUAAUGAAAUAGGACGUUCGAUCCUAUUUUGUUGGUUUUAGGAUCAACGUAAUGAUUAAUAGGGAUAGUUGGGGGCAUUAGUAUUCAAUUGUCAGAGGUGAAAUUCUUGGAUUUAUUGAAGACUAACUACUGCGAAAGCAUUUGCCAAGGAUGUUUUCAUUAAUCAAGAACGAAAGUUAGGGGAUCGAAGACGAUCAGAUACCGUCGUAGUCUUAACCAUAAACUAUGCCGACUAGGGAUCGGAUGAUGUUAAUUUUUUAAUGACUCAUUCGGCGCCUUAC
rnacentral:rRNA from 1 species